rnacentral:rRNA from 1 species
AUUGAACGCUGGCGGCAUGCCUUACACAUGCAAAUCGAACGGUAACGGGCCUUCGGGUGCCGACGAGUGGCGAACGGGUGCGUAAUACAUCGGAACGUGCCCGAUCGUGGGGAAUAACGAGGCGAAAGCUUUGCUAAUACCGCAUACGAUCUACGGAUGAAAGCAGGGGACCGCAAGGCCUUGCGCGGACGGAGCGGCCGAUGGCAGAUUAGGUAGUUGGUGGGGUAAAAGCUUACCAAGCCGACGAUCUGUAGCUGGUCUGAGAGGAUGAUCAGCCACACUGGGACUGAGACACGGCCCAGACUCCUACGGGAGGCAGCAGUGGGGAAUUUUGGACAAUGGGCGCAAGCCUGAUCCAGCCAUGCCGCGUGCAGGAUGAAGGCCUUCGGGUUGUAAACUGAUUUUGUACGGAACGAAAAGCCUUCUUUUAAUACAGGAGGGUCAUGACGGUACCGUAAGAAUAAGCACCGGCUAACUACGUG